CUUUUUUAUGGACAUGCCUUCACUAGAGGCAGCAGAAAAAAAAAAACCUAAUUUAUAAAAACUUCACAACUGUAAAGUCUUUGGAUUCAUUCACUUCCCUGGCCUUUGUCACUGCCUUCCUCCAGCAUUAGCCAGCUAAGGAUUAUCUGCUGUAGCUCUAUCCAGCUUUCUCUCCUGCCUGCCCACUGCCUGAGCCAGAAAACCUCUUGCUGCUGCAGGCCUGGGGUCUUCAGUGACCAUCCUGCUCUGCUUCUUCAGGUAAGCCUGGUUGUUGGGCUGCUCUCCUCUGCCUCAUCUUAUCCCGCCUUGUUCAGACCAGUGCUUUGAGAAGUGGUAAUUUGAUAAAUGCCUUGGUUUGUGAAGCUCGGAAAUGCACUAGUUACAGUAACAAACAAGUAUAUUUUUCUGGAAAAAAUGAGCCUGUAAUAGCCUACUCAACGCUGCUCCAAAAAGAGAAACACUUACGAGCUUUACAGACUUCUUUUCUACUUCAAUUUUUAAAAAUAUUGUGGCAAGACCAGUACCAUUAAAGACAAUGACAAGUAAACUAUCAACAUUAACAAUUACAUACUUAUAAACACCCCCUGACUUUGUGCCACACUAAUCCAAACCUGGACCACCUCCUUGUCUACCUAAAAAAAUGCCUCAUAUUUAUGGAGCAGCAAAUGCUAUUUCCAUAAGAGAUUUUGACUGGAGAGUAAUCAGGCAAAUUCUUAGUCUGUUAUAUAAAGAGUGAAAAACAUCUUUAGUACAAGGUCUCAGAGACCUAUUAUGUCAGAACAAAUCAAUGACAAGAGCUAUGCUACUAUUAAACAAAACAAUAGCUGUCACAUUAUUUUAAAGUAAGUCAUAAACUGUCAAAAGCUAGGAGAUUAUGAAAUUUUACUGCUGGCCCCUUGCCUGAGCCCUUGUGUCUAGACAUUACAGCAGAUGAGCUGGGUUAAAAAGAAAUAAGUGCUACAGUUCCUCUGACAGCAUGGGACACUGAAGUAUAUGAAUUGUAAAGGACUUUGCUUCUCUUGCACAAAACUGGGUGGCUGCUCCAAACAGCGUUGAGUAGGCAGGUGGUUUGGGCUGGACUUGGGGGAUGCUGCAGCAUAGGAUAUCAAAACCAUUUAAGGUCUGGUCUCACAUGCGUCUGAAGAUUUGAGAAGUUACCCAAACACCUGAGUUGGAAUCUUUUAUACUUUAACAGAAAUUGACAGGCUUAAGCAAAGACUCUCUGGCCUGGAAAAUGCACCUGCCCUCCUCACAAUUGCCACCUCAGCAGGAAAAGUUGUGUGUGCAUGGUCAUGCAGAACACCAUGGAAAACUAGAGAGCUGUGGCUCCUCAGUUCAUGCAUAAGGGGAGAGCUCAUCUGCUGCACAAAGGACUGGCACAAGUGAAGAAGGGAUAAAGGAGCUGGUGCUUGGUUGCUGAGCAACCAGAUGAUUGUGGAGUCAACUCAAGCAAGAAGCAUGCAAAAAGAAGCAAAAAGCGUGAUUGAUAAGAGGAACAGCAGAAAAAGGGACUGAAACACAGGCAGAAAAGAUGAAGACAAUAGAAACACAGGGCUAAAUCC